rnacentral:rRNA from 1 species
GAUGAACGCUGGCGGCGUGCCUAAUACAUGCAAGUCGAGCGAACAGACGAGGAUCUUGCUCCUUUGACGUUAGCGGCGGACGGGUGAGUAACACGUAGGUAACCUACCUAUAAGACUGGGAUAACUUCGGGAAACCGGAUCUAAUACCGGAUAAUAUUUCGAACCGCAUGGUUCGAUAGUGAAAGAUGGCUUUGCUAUCACUUAUAGAGGGACCUGCGCCGUAUUAGCUAGUUGGUAAGGUAACGGCUUACCAAGGCAACGAUACGUAGCCGACCUGAGAGGGUGAUCGGCCACACUGGAACUGAGACACGGUCCAGACUCCUACGGGAGGCAGCAGUAGGGAAUCUUCCGCAAUGGGCGAAAGCCUGACGGAGCAACGCCGCGUGAGUGAUGAAGGUCUUCGGAUCGUAAAACUCUGUUAUUAGGGAGGAACAAACGUGUAAGUAACUGUGCACGUCUUGACGGUACCUAAUGAGAAAGCAACGGCUAACUACGUG